UACGGAGGGUGCAAGCGUUAUCCGGAUUCACUGGGUUUAAAGGGUGCGUAGGUGGGCAGGUAAGUCAGUGGUGAAAUCUCCGGGCUUAACCCGGAAACUGCCAUUGAUACUAUCAGUCUUGAAUACCGUAGAGGUAAGCGGAAUAUGUCAUGUAGCGGUGAAAUGCUUAGAUAUGACAUAGAACACCAAUUGCGAAGGCAGCUUACUACCCGAAUAUUGACACUGAGGCACGAAAGCGUGGGGAUCAAACAGG
rnacentral:rRNA from 1 species